AGGUCAUGUGACUGUCAAGCUCUCCUCUUUCACUGUUGCUCCACCUCUCAGUGGGCCGUCACCAAGAGGGAGAGGUGGAGGAAGUAUUCAGAUCCUUUACUGAAGUCAAAGUACUAAUAGCACACUGUGACAAUACUCCACUACAGGUUGAGCUCAUUUGAACUCCUUUAUAUCCUGUUGGGGAGUUUAAUCUACAGCAAUGCAUCAUGGUCUAUAAGAUCAUCAUAUGUCUGUAGCGUGGCUGUCCUGUGAGAACCACGUAUCUCUAAAGAGUUUUCUGAGUUUUAGGUCACACAGCCCGCAGGUUGUCCUCUCUUCCCCCGAGAGGUGGAGAGCAGAGAUGGAUGAGUCCGACAGGAAGCUCCUCUCCAGCCCGUGAUGGAUGCUGCUGCCUCCGACGCUCAGGCCGCGGUGAGGGAACACGGCGGCUCCAUGAUGAGGAGGAGGAGGGUGUAGGUCAGGGUUAUAUAUAGAAAACAGAUGAUGAGGUCUUUGCUCCGCCCUCUCCGUGAUGCAUGAUGACAGCCUCUCCAGCUGUGUCCACUCAGGUGAUGUCAUCUAAAAUGGACGAUGGGCGAAGCGGCAGAGCAGCUGUCCCAGCACAGCACCGCACGCACCAGUAAACUCACCACAGCUGGAAGACGAGACCAGACAGGUCAGACUGAAGGUCAAAGGUCAGAAUACAUUAAUGGAGAGCAGGGGAUGUGUUCACGGAACAUUUCAAAGCUAAAAUAAAAGCUCUUAAGAGUUAUUCACAAAACAUUUUAGUGCUUAAAGAAACUCUAAAGUCCAGAGAACGAAAAACAGACUAUUCAGCUUCAGCAUCCAUCAGAGAUUCAACAAAAAUGCAGAGACACAGAGAGUCUCCUUAGAGUCAGGAGCCGGUUUUCUCAUGUAUGUAUGACACUUAAGGCUUAAUUUCUCCUUAGCUGAGGUCCUUACUUAAGAGCAUUGUGCAGAGUCCCAUAGACAGUUCCCUUAGUUUAGGUAAAAAAUCAUUAAGACGUUUACUGCAUUGAGAGAUUUUACAGCCAGCAGAUUCCACAGUUUCCGUGGUAACUGUUUGUUUGUUUGCACUCACACUUUUGAUACCUUAGUCUUUUGUGCAAUGGUUUCACUAAUUUUAAGGGAUUCCUUAAGUAUGAGAUCAAGAAAGGAGAAAAUCUUACCCUAAAGACUUGAAGAUCAUCCGGAGGAGAAGAUGUGUUUUGUGCGGCUGGGACCGGUUGUACAAAACACCUUAGGUUUUCGCCCACUUAAGGCUUAAUUUCUCCUCAGCUGAGGGACUCACACAGUCGCACAGAAUCCCUUCAAAGUUUUCCUUAGUUAUGGAAAACCGUUAGCUCAUUUACUGCAUUGAAAGAGAUGGCCGAUAGUUAGAGAGUGAAAAAAUGGCAGAAGAAAAGAAGACAAGAAAACCAAACUGGUCAGAGGAGGAAAUGAUUCAACACAAACAAACUACAAACUACAAAGUAAUUUUGAUCCCCAAACACCAGAAAACAAAAAACAAUUACAGGAAGAAACUGAUCCUUUGCUAAGUCCCACCCCCGGAUGCAGACUGGCCAAUCAUAACAUAGCAUCAGGGUGGCUUGAACGUUUUUUGACUUCCCCCUGAGAUCCCUGUCCGUCCAGCGACAGAGGUGCUGGCAGCAGCACGGGGGUGAAGCCAAACCCCGCUCAUCUGCACACACUGUGAUGCCACACAGCUGGUUCAAUAUCAGCACAGUUUCCCUUUAUAUUCAUUGUCUUGUGUGGCGAUCAGCAGUGAUGUGGUGGUUCACUUUUACACUGUGAUCUGUAGCCUAUAGUUCGGCUUUAGCUUCUAACUAUCUUUGUCUUUUUAACCUGUUGUUGCUGCUGAGUCAGUUUGACAUCCUGGAUAUAUCCUUCAAACACAGACUGUAGACCCCUCUGUCUGCUUCUCUCUGGGGUCACUGUUUCGUUUUCCCAAAUAUAUGAUCAUAAUAUUUCUUCAGGGAGUGCAGUUAGUCACAGUGUGGGCUCCACGCUUACUCUGACAGCUUGUUGGACCAUCACAAAGGGGCGGGGCUUAGUGAACAUUAAUUCAGUCAAAUCUUAAAUCUAAAAUAAAUCCAUUGGACUCACCUGGUCGCAGAGCACUCCUCUGCAGGUGUUUUUUGUUGUUGUUGUUUUGUUUUGUUUUCAUUUACCACCAUAAAAUUGGUCAUGUUGCAGUUAAGAUAGACUCAGAGGGACCUUAAGGUUUUUUUGUUGUUGUUUGUUUUUUACCUGGUUGUGGUUGCUAAGGUCUUUUGUGCAGCGGUCAAGGGAUUCCUUAAGUAUAAGACCAAGACAAGGAGAAAAUCAUAAACACUUCAAAUCUUAACUUAAGGUGUUUUGUGGGCCUCAGAUUUUAUUUAAGAAAACCUUAACUAGGACCUUAAGGAAAAUCUUGCAACCUACCCCAGAGGUUUAAUCUCUUUCAGACCGUUUCAAUAAUCUGUUGCAGACGCCAAAAAAACCCAUCAAUAAAUAAUCAGCAAUAAGUUUAAAAUAAAAAAUGAUCCCGCUGUCUUUGUGCUGCGUUCAAUGUUUCCCCACCCACGGGAGUUGUGAGUACUCUGCUUUGAAACACACAAACAUUAAUUAAAUGUAGCACGAGUGAAAACUAAGAUGAACCCAGCAGACUGAGUUUGUAACGUCACUGCAACAAGUAGUUCAACUGUUGUGCAGGUAAAGUCAGGAAUUUAAAAUCAGUCUGAUUUUACUGAGCAGCUGAAGGUUUGAGUUGAGAUUUUAUCAGCUCAAAUUAAUCUCCUAUCAAAGAAAAAUGACUGAACCUGAAACACAAUAAGCCUCUCAUAGACACCUGACUCCACUCACACUGAGGGAAAGAGCAGUGAGUGCAGCAGCAGCGCCCCCUGCUGACUCUGAAUGAAGCAGCACAGCCUGGAACAAGACAUCUUCUCUAUCAGGGAGACGCUCUGGAAAAUGUCUAAAUAAUAUUCAGAUGUCUUUGAAAACGUGGAGUUUGUCUUGUGUGAUCUCUGCAUCUGAGAAGUUCCCACUGAUUACCCACAAAAAGUUACAUAAAUGUUUUGUUUCUAUCAAAUAAAAACAAAUAAAUGAAAAUCUAUAAAAUUUGUUUUUCAAGAAAUUAAGUUAAAUGAAGUAUAUUUAUUUGUUGAGCACCAUCACAGUCCUGGUUGCCAAACUGACUCUGACCCCCUGUGUGUUGUUUUUUUAUGUGUGUGGUUUUAUUUUGCAGGUAUCAGUUUUCUGCGUUUUGGUUGUCAGUAAUAAGUGAUGAGCCUGUUUUAAUGGAUGAUUAAAAUGAACCUUGUGCUUUACAAAGACAGGUUAAAUACAAUUUAACCAAAUAAUCAAAUAAAAGCAGAUUUUAUAUUCACAUAAUUAAUCAUCACUUUAACUCAGCUGUGAAGCCUCUUAUAAGCUUCACCUUAACUUCACACUAUUUGUAUUUAAACAGUGACAUCCAUGUAAAUAUGUUUAAAAUACACUUUACAGAAAUGUGACUAUAUCCUUGAAAUGUGAU